rnacentral:misc_RNA from 1 species
ACACCUCAACUCUCAUGGUUUGCCGUGAUGAGCUUGGACUCUGGGGGUUUUGCUGGCCUGCGGUCGGCUCCCCUCAAAUGAAUCAGCCUCCCAGUGUUUGGUGGCAUCACGGGUGUGAUAAAUAUCUACGCUCGCAGUUGUCCGCCAGGUAACCUUUGGUAACAAAGGUUCGCUGGAGCUCACAGAUGUCUCUCCUCAGCGAGGACAGCUUUUUGAAC